UCAAGACCAUUCUUCAAGACUGAUCCUGUCUGAAGAAGAAUCCUGGCCUAAAAUGCCACUUGUCCAUUCCCUCCACAGAUGCUGCCUGACACGCUGAGUUCCUCCAGCACUUUGUGUUUUGUUCAGCAUUGUUGAUGUCAGUUGAACAAGUGCAGUGCCUCAAAGUCAUGCCAAGUAGCCAUUUCAAAAACGUGUUUGUUUUAUUCUUGAAGCACGCUGGUCACACUACAGGGGAACAACAUGGAUAAGCCAAAACACAAUCAUUUAAUAAUAUUGUCACAAUACUUUUACCCUCUCCUCGAAAUGGCAAAAUAAUUUCAUGCAUGCAGGCAUGUGGGACUA